rnacentral:lncRNA from 1 species
GAAAUUGAUAAACUAGGAAUCAAGUAGAUUAAUAUAUCUUAUAUUCAAAGAACUUUGAUUUUAAAUUCAUGAUGGGCUAACAGGUGUUGAAUGAAUGCAAAUCAUUGGUCAAAGAUUUUCUAAUCUCGUUGGCUUAGAGAUUGAAUUCUCAAUUCUACUUAUUUACACAUCAUGAGAAAGUAAAUAUGUUCUUACAGUUUCGCUGAAAACUGUUCUUAACUAAAGCAACGGUGAUUUCAGUUGUACUAGUAAAGGAAGAUUUCCAGUUCAAAUAUCAUGCUCGGAUACCAN